rnacentral:misc_RNA from 1 species
AUUUACUAUUGAAAAUAUUCUCAGAUAUGUAUUACGGCGCGAAAAAUAGCUAAAUCGGUGCAAACUAAUAAAAAUAUCCGGUGCUAUUUAUUCCGUCUGUGUUGCAUUCAUGAUUCCUUGUUACUUCAUGAACGUAAAUGCAUUGGACCAUCAAUUAGUCCAUUGGAUCCUUGUAACCAACGACGCUCUUGUUCACAAAAUGCGUUAUAUAUAAAUAAAUAGAUGCCUGUCUACAGCUCCAUGUUGUUAUAAAUGAUCUGAAAAAAUAGAACUAUCAAGAUAAUUAAUUACACGGACUAGUUAGAUACUACAGUAAGUUAAACCAAUGAAAAAGCUUGUUAUUUUAGCAAACAAAAUUCAACAAAUCAGAAUACUCAAGACAUCGUGAUACGGUUCAUCUACCUUUUCAGGUUCUUUAGUCAAGGGAGAUAAUAAGGUGUCAAUAGUUUUUAAAAAUCUGGUUUUCUUCAAAUAAAUGAUUUUCUUUCAUUCAAAUAACUUUACAAAUUUUGCCAGAUUAUAUUUCUUGUGAAAACUUCCAACAAAAAUAAUUAUUUAAAGGUGCAAACAUAUAUUUAUUUCUUGCGGUAUGAAACAUCAUUAUGGAAGUUGACUCGGCAAGCCAUGAGUGUGGCUUGAUUAUCUCAAAUAUCCGUGACAGCAACUUAGAGUCCUCAGAUCUUGACUGCACUCUUAAUUUAGAAAAAGGAAACAAUUCUGAAAUGCUAAUUGCUAACCAGAGCCCUGAUGAAGAAACAGAAACUAUUAUUUCAUCAGAUGGUGUCACUGAUGAAAACACAGUAAUACUUGAGGGCUGUUUAUCAUUCAAUCAGCCAUCAGACGAUGAUUCUGUUGUGUCACAACAGACUGUAAUUGAAUCUGGCUACACAGAAUUGGAUACUGCCUGGCAUAUGCAGAUGGUUGCCAAUGGUGAUAUAGAUACCACAGGUCUUGUCACUGAUGUGAAAACAGAAAAUAUACAAACAGUUGGUGAGUUGGGAGAUGAAUGGCAUAUGCAAAUUCAACUGAUUAGUUUGGUUUCUGAUUCUGAGGUAAAAGUAGAAAAUGAAGAAACAGUAACUGCUUCUGGUGAACCUGCAGAUAAAGAAUGCCUUGUUGAAGCUGUUGAUAAUUCUAUGAGGGUGCAUGAAAUGCUUAAUCCAGCUGAAUCUAACAUUAUUCUUAUUCAGAAGGACAUUGAAACUGAAGAAAGUUGCAUUCCUCUAGAAGUUGUCUCAGCUGAUGGCUAUGGGAAUACAUACCUCGAUGUUGGGGUACAAACUAUAGGGGAAGAGUAUACAGUCACUGAGGAAGUGUGCAGUUCUGAUGAGAAAGAGGUUGUAAAAAUUGUUUCAACAGUACCCAAAAAAUAUGCUGUGACCUCUGACACAUGUGCAAUAUGUGGCAUGAAGUUUCCCAAUCGAUCUGCCUGCCAGCGGCAUAUGAUUGGUGUGCAUGAAGAAGCCAAGCACCAAUGCAGCAAGUGUAAAAAAACCUUCUUUCGGUUAUAUUCUCUAAAGCUGCACAUUAAAAAGAAGCAUAAUGGUGAAGGCCUGUUUUUCUGUGACAAGUGUAAAUAUUGUUUUAUAUGCAAAUACUACUUUGAUCAGCACCGAAAGAGAAAUUGCACACCUGUUCAUUGUCGAGAAUGUGGACGAGGCUUAGGCAAUCUCAUACAGCUACAUAAUCACAGGCGAUGGGUUCAUAAACUCAAGGUGUGACCUGUCCCAUUAUCAAUCAGGGAAUGUUAGCCUGUGUAAACAUUAUUACAGGUACAAGUCCCUGUUGUAUGCUCCUGAGUGCAGCAGCAACAGCCAUCAAAUUUGUGUCUUUCCACAUCUAGUGGCCUGAGCAUACGCCAUUAAAAGCCAUCCACAUCAGGGUUGUGAAGUUGAGCACAUCAAACCCAUACCAUCCAAACUCAACCAAAUUUCAUGUCACAAAGCCACACCAAGAGGUGAACUAUAAACCAGAAGAACCUUUAAUCCCUAUUGCAUUGCUAUUAUAGAAAGAAAAGGGCGAGCAGAAGGUGGAAGGGAGAUAAUGAAUUGAAUGACUAACAUUUCAGGGGAAAUAACUAGGUGGCAUUUCUCUGGAAUAGUAACUUGUCGCUAAAAUUUACAUACUUUAUAAGGAAACUCAUCAACAGUUUGGUUUUCUUCCCCCACCUCUAUGUGGUAUGGUGAAUCCCAUUUUUCUUCAACAUUACAUUUCUUUUUCUACUAUUUAGUCAUUCUGCCUGAUUUAGGGGCAUUUUUUUUUCAAGAAUACAGUCAUUUUAAAAUAUUUUCUUUGUUCCUUGAAAGAAUUCAGGGGUUAAUACUAUUUUAAAAUAAGUAUUUGUUUGUAUCAAACAUGUAUACAUUUACAUGCUAUAAACACAGCCAGUAGAUGCACUCUUAAAAAAGAAACUUAGGCAUUCAUCUACACAUAACCUUGCAUUUAUGUAUUAUCUAUGGAAGAUGUGGCAAAAGAUAUAUAUUUAAGUUUGAGUCUAAAAUCUCUUCACAUUCAAAUUUGAAUUUAUUAUUAUUAUUAUUACUAAAUCUGCAUUGUGUCCCUCCCUUUUUUAUUUGCACAUUUCUUUGAAAGCCACUUCCCCCAUACCCUCAAAGAAUGCACCCUUAUUAAUAACAAUGGCAGGAGAUAUACACCGCUCAUUAUUGUGGUAGUGGUGCUGUACUAAAUGCAUCAUGCUUUUUAGCUUCUGAGUUCAAAUCCCACCAGUAUCACCUUCUCUACUGUACUCAUGAUAUGCUGAAGUUUAUUUGAUUGACUCCCCCUCUUCCUUUAGUAAUUUGCCAUCUGUCUCAGUGAGAACUUAUUACUAAGGUGGCAGGCUGGCAGAAUCAUUAGCACCCAGUGAAAUUGUCAGUAACAUUUAUUCUAACUCUUUAUGCUCUGAGUUCAAAAACUGCAGAGGUCAAAUUUGCCUUUCAUCCUUCUAGGAUUGAUAGAAUUAAGUAUGAGUCAAGUACUAGGGUUGAUGUAUGACAAUGUUUGGUUAUCCUUUCUCUCUAAAAAAAUUGCUGGCCUUGUACCAAAAUUUAAGACAAUUAUUAUUAUCAUUUCUGACUUGUUUUCUCAUCUCAGUUGAAAUCAUUUCAAUUCAUAUAUAUUGCUUAUUGCUCCUAAAAACAUCCCAGUUUCCUUUCUUUGAUAAUUUAUGUUCCAAGCCUCUGUGAGAAACCAUUAUUUUCAUAGCAUGGCGUAAAGGUUAAAUUCUUGGCAAACUAAGUUUGUGACAGAAUUUUGGUUUAUUUGUCUGUUAGUAUUUUUUGUUGGAUGCUUUUGCUAUUCUGAGUUCAAAUCAUGCCAGGUUCAGUCACAAAUGUGUCAACUUCUUGAUCUCAUAAAAGAAAGUACCAAAUACAAGAUACAAAGUUAGCCAUUGAUUCUAAUGAAGAGAAAAUAUUCUUGCCGAAAUUGUUGAUGUUUGGAAACUCACAUUUUUCCCAACCUCUAAAGUGAAUAUGGCCAGUCACUUGUAUAUCAAUAUCUGAUUUUGAAAGAUUAGAUAAUUAACAUCUUACUGGAGGGGAUUAAUAAAUUGUGUAUGUUAGUAAUGAACUAGAUGAAUGAGUGCUCGACCCCAAGAAGGUGAAUAAACAAUUCUUUUGAGUUCAUGUUGAAUCUCUAGAACAUAGGUUCAUGCUGAAGGAAUCAGUAAUUUUCCAGUGACACUAUUAUUAUAAGAUGAUGAGAGUCUUACAAAUAGCAGAGAAUGUUACUAAUAUCAUUUGUAAUUUUAAUACAUCCUGAAAUAUUGCUAUUUCUAUCUGCAUGAAACUUCAGGAUCUGAAAAUUUUAUCAAAAUGAAAUAAGUAUGCAUGCAUACAUGCAUAAAUACACACACACACAACUUCCUUGUGACCUCAGCUUGUAAUGAAAUUGCACAUCAUCAUAACAUAAAACAUAUCUUCAGUUUUCAGUGACCUAUUUUGAUUGAUCCCUCCUUGGGUUAUUAUAUAUGGUGAUGAACCCUAGACUUCAUUUGGUCACUGGGGCACUGAGGAAAAUUUUUUAUGUGGGUGUUGCCAGUUGAAAGAAGUCAGUUUCGUGACCUUCAUCACUUCAAUGUAUAUUUAUUGCAAGUAAUUUUUUUUAAUUAUUUUAUUGUGCUUGUGAAAUCCUAUUUACAACUAUAUGGACUGACCCACUUAGAGUUAAGUAUUUUUGCCAUGGACACAGUACUGUUAUGGGAUACAAAGUGCCAUCUCUUCAAUCUGUAGGCCAACACCAGAAUGAUUUAAUCAUAUUUGUAUGUAUGUUUGUAUAUAUAUAUAUAUAUUGUCAUAUACACACUUUCAUACAUAGCAUUCAUGUACAUCAUAUGUAUCGAUACAAUCAAAAUUAGUUUUAUUUGUAAAGUUUCACCUCUGUUUGUUACAUCUACAACAAUGACUAAAGUUGUACACAUCCCCCAUCUAUUAACUGUUUGUGACUUUACUGAAGCACUUGUCAUCUCAUAGCUCGAAGUAAAAUCACUUACAAUUAUUUAUUAAAAUGCCACAUUGCCAUGUGUGAAUGCCUGUUAUUAUCUGAAAGAAUUCUCCAGUUUGAAUAAUUCUUUGUGAAUGCAUCUCUAUGCUUAAUUAUGAAAUCCUUGUUCUAUUCUGGAAUCUUUAUUCUGGAUUUUUUUCCAUAUCAUUUAUGGCAGGAGUAGAAUCAUUUUACCUUUUGGUAUUCUUUCCCUUUCCUUCCCUUCAUCUUCUCUGUAAUAGUCAGAAACUCCUGUACUGUAAUGCUCAUUAUUCAAAGUUCAAAUUCUAUUAAAAUAUAUGGUGUUCUGUCUCUUAUACAAGACUUCUCACAGCAUUUGAUGAUUAAAUGGUUGGUAUCACUCCAUAUGCAUUGUGAAUCUUCAGAAACUUUUGCUAAAAAUAUGACAUUUCUAGAACCUUCCAAAUGAACAAAAAAUAAAGAAGAAAUGGAAAAGAAAAUGGUUCUUUAAGCUUAGGAUGCUAUGUUCUAUCCUUUCCUGGUUCAAAUUUAUUUUAAAAAGUGAAAAGUUCUUACCAAUUAUGCUUCAACCAAAAUACGUUACUUUAAAAAAAAUAAUUGCAGGACAGUCACUUCUGUUGAGCAUUUCCUUAAUUUAAUGAUCCAUAUCUCCAGCUGUUGUCCACUUUUGCUACAGAUCAGUGAAUCCAUAACCAUUUGUUUUCCCCCUCCCCCUUCAACCUAACAUUGUUGUUGACUGCUCUCUUACAUGGAAAUGCUGCCAACCAUGUUUGCUUCUGUCAAUUCAUCUGUUCUCUCACUGCCACAGUUCCAUGAGUUUUUAAUCAUUGUUUGUGCUUCUAAAACCAAAGUAAUUAAACAAGACAAACCUGGGCUCUUCCAUCCACCAAAUUUCUAAAAUUAUUGUUGACUGUUUACUUGUAAAUUGCAUUUAAUUGAACUUUUUAUUUUAUGUAUUUAUUUAUUUAUUUAUUUUUUUGGUUACCACAGCUUUUUGUAAUAUGAUUUGCACAAGACAAGAUUAAGCAUAGUUUCUAAUACGUGUGUGUGUGUUUAUGUAUACACAGCUAAAUAACUUCUACAUUUGUACUUCCUUUAAGCAUGCAUGUUCAAUUAAGUCAUUAGUAAAAUUACGUUUUUAAUGUCUUCUAGUCACUGCUGUGAGUUUUAACAUGCAGCUAAUGUUAACAAAUUAGCACCAAAUAACAUUUAUUUGAUAUUCA